rnacentral:tRNA from 1 species
UGCGAAGUAGUGUAAAUGGUAACAUAUCAGUCUCAUGAACUGAAGUUAAGAGGUUCAAGUCCCUUCUUCGCAU